AUGAUAUUAGUAUAAAAUAAAGUAUAUCUAUCUUCCAAAUAGACGGUCUUAUUAGAUAUCAUA
rnacentral:tRNA from 1 species